rnacentral:rRNA from 1 species
AACGAACGCUGGCGGCACGCCUAACACAUGCAAGUCGAACGAUUAUGGAACUAGCUUGCUAGAACCCAGAUAGUGGCAGACGGGUGAGUAACGCGUGGGAAUCUUCCUAGUAGUACGGAAUAGCCGUUGGAAACGACGAAUAAUACCGUAUAUUCCCUGAGGGGGAAAGAUUUAUCGCUACUAGAUGAGCCCGCGUUAGAUUAGCUAGUUGGUAGGGUAAUGGCCUACCAAGGCAAUGAUCUAUAGCUGGUCUGAGAGGACGACCAGCCACACUGGAACUGAGAUACGGUCCAGACUCCUACGGGAGGCAGCAGUGGGGAAUAUUGGACAAUGGGCGAAAGCCUGAUCCAGCAAUGCCGCGUGAGUGAAGAAGGCCUUAGGGUUGUAAAGCUCUUUUAGUAGGGAAGAUAAUGACGGUACCUACAGAAAAAGCACCGGCUAACUCCGUGCCAGCCGCCGCCGUAA